rnacentral:rRNA from 1 species
UACAGAGGGUGCUAGCGUUGUUCGGAAUCAUUGGGCGUAAAGCGCGCGUAGGCGGCCUGGUAAGUCCGCUGUGAAAGUCAAAGGCUCAACCUUUGAAUGUCAGCGGAUACUGCCAGGCUAGAGUCCGGAAGAGGCGAGUGGAAUUCCUGGUGUAGCGGUGGAAUGCGCAGAUAUCAGGAGGAACACCAACGGCGAAGGCAGCUCGCUGGGACGGUACUGACGCUGAGGCGCGAAAGCGUGGGGAGCGAACAGG